AUUGAACGCUGGCGGCAUGCCUUACACAUGCAAGUCGAACGGUAACAGGUCUUCGGAUGCUGACGAGUGGCGAACGGGUGAGUAAUACAUCGGAACGUGCCCAGUAAUGGGGGAUAGCUCGGCGAAAGCCGGAUUAAUACCGCAUACGCCCUGAGGGGGAAAGUGGGGGACCGCAAGGCCUCACGUUAUUGGAGCGGCCGAUGGCUGAUUAGCUAGUUGGUAGGUUAAAGGCCUACCAAGGCGACGAUCAGUAGCUGGUCUGAGAGGACGAUCAGCCGCACUGGGACUGAGACACGGCCCAGACUCCUACGGGAGGCAGCAGUGGGGAAUUUUGGACAAUGGGGGAAACCCUGAUCCAGCAAUGCCGCGUGUGCGAAGAAGGCCUUCGGGUUGUAAAGCACUUUUGUCAGGGAAGAAAUCCUUUGGGCUAAUACCCUAGGGGGAUGACGGUACCUGAAGAAUAAGCACCGGCUAACUACGUGCCAGCCGCCGCCGUAA
rnacentral:rRNA from 1 species